GGCAGCGUGGCUCAGUGGAAAGAGCACGGGCUUUGGAGUCAGGGCUCAUGAGUUCAAAUCCCAGCUCUGCCA
rnacentral:tRNA from 1 species